rnacentral:lncRNA from 1 species
AAAGGGAGGGAGGGCUCUAUGGCAUACAUUCGACCGGUCACCGAUUGGAAUGGAAUACAAAGUUUAACGCACUGAACUACACAACAAGCCUUACCAGGUAUAAGAAGUUUCUUGUCCUUUCGAUAUCUGGUUCAGUGAAGCGAGACCAGACCUGCCUGCUGAGAUGCUGUAUACUACUGUGCUGGGCGGUGCACGCACACACCAGCGAACACUGUUACGGCUCUAGAUCGCCGUGUCAACUCCAGCCAGCCAGUACUCCAUCGUAUUUAAGAGGCACUGAAGGGAAUCGGCGCGAGUACGCAAUGAUUUUGAAACAUCAGAAAACUUAAGGGUCAUCUCACCGUCAGGACUGCUGCACGGUUAGUAGAAUUGCACCGUUGAUACGAGCGCGGCGGCUAUUGACCAUCGGCGGAUUGGCCGAUUGUGAUGGCCGCACCGUUUCGCAAAAACACAGACACGCAACGGAGACUAAGUCGAUUAGUAAAACCCAUGUAUAUUGAUGCAGAUCUUUGUAGGUGGACACACAGCACAACGGCUGCUUUGCGACACUUAGACUUUGCACAACAGAAUGCGGGAGGAGAAACUGGUUCUGCCUUUAGAUGUUGGAAAGCUCCUGAACUGGAAAGAAAAUGGCAGCAGCUCGCGCAUUACAAAAAGAUUGCACAGUGGCA